UACGGGGGGGGCAAGCGUUGUUCGGAAUUACUGGGCGUAAAGGGCGCGUAGGCGGUUCGUUAAGUCCUGUGUGAAAUCCCCCGGCUCAACUGGGGAACUGCACAGGAAACUAGCGGGCUUGAGUUCGGGAGAGGGAAGCGGAAUUCCGGGUGUAGCGGUGAAAUGCGUAGAUAUCCGGAGGAACACCGGUGGCGAAGGCGGCUUACCUGGACCGACACUGACGCUGAGUGAGCGAAAGC
rnacentral:rRNA from 1 species